AUUGGCUUUAGUCCAAGUGGAAGUUGUUGGAAAAUGUAUCCUAAAGUCAAUAAUCUAGAUUGUAGAUGAUUGUGUUCCAUACAAGUAUAUGAAUUAUAAAAUGUAAAUAUUAUAUGGUAGAUUCAUCAUAAAGAAUACAUCUUCCAAAAUAGAACUCAUAUGUUAUUAUGAAAUCCUUAGAACUACUACCAAAAUGAUAAAGGAGGAUUUAUCAUAUGAUUUUUAAAUCCUACUCAUGAUCAAAUGAUACAAUUAUUACAAGGAUGAUAAUUGUAUCGAGUGUAGGACGUUG
rnacentral:lncRNA from 1 species